UGGUGCUUGUGCAGCGGCACGGGCUCUUGCUGCCCAGGGUUAUCGCACGGAGCCAACGCGCCCGUGCUCAGCUCCGAGCGCUCCAAGCGCGCUCGCUUCUGGGGGUGGCUUCUUUUUUGGCUCGCGUUUGAACUUCCUGUAGCUGGCUGCACCUCUCCAGGCAGGGAAAGGAAUGGAAAAUGAAACUGCCCUGAUGAUGAACAGAAAGGAAACGAGCGAGCCCUGCCCCUCCCGGAAGCCCUUUAAAAACAGAGGCCGUCGGGCUCCCUCCUGGCAGCCUUCGCCGGGCUGGGGACCGGGGCCACCCCUGCACGACCCCAGCCUUUCCCCCGCUGUUUGCCGGAGCCGCCGGGGCGCGGAGCGGCUGCUGGCCCCGCGGUCAGACCAGUGCCGGGCAGAGGGUGCUCGUGGAGCUGAGGGUGCAAGGAACUGGGAGAGAGGCAGAUGCUCCUGGUGGAGCCGGGCCCCAGAGCAGGUGUGUACCAGUCCACGCAACACGAGUGGCUCGUUUCGCCCGUCAGCGGGUCGCAAGUGGCUUUAAACCCCAGUUUGUGCUUUUCAGGGCUCGUGCGAAGAAGGGGUGUCUGGAAAAUGUACAAAAUCUGACGUGCAAAUUGAGGUCUGUGGCUCGCAGGUAUAUGUUCCUCCUGAUCAGCUGCCACCAUCCUCGAGGCCACGUGGAUUUUGCCCUGUUGACAUCAGAGCUUUAUUGUCAGUAGGAAGGCCGGUUUGUGGGGCAGCUUCCUUGAACUUCCUUGUGCCACACAUCUCUCCUCCACCUGCGUUUAGAUUUCAAAAGCUCCUGUUGCUGCUUUUUUCUUUUCUCCUCCCUGUUCUGCUGUAAGGUGGUUGUGGAGAUGAAAAAGCUUUAAAUUGGCUUUAAUGCUGGUGAUCCACGGAGACUUUAAGAGGGGGAUGCGCUUCCCUUUCCUCUUCCCUCCUACUUACAGACCCGGACAGGGAGCUUGUUCCGAGAGCUUGCUGAAAAUCAAACGCUUUCUUAAAAAAAACAAACAGCAGCAGAAUUGACCCUUUAAAGCCAGAAUACUCCCUCGUGGCUUUUUUAAGCUGGGAUGUCCUGCCUUUGGCAUGAAUUCCAGUAACACCCCAGCUGCCCCGUGCGCUCUUUAUUAGUAGUUCCUAAACCGCUUCACGGAGCGGGUCGGUGUCGGAGUUGUUGCAGCGCUGCAGGACCUCAUCCUGCUCCCUGCUGGGCUCAGCUCCUCCUGCGCUGCCCUGACCGAGCCGAGUGCCAGCGAUCGGGUUUCAGCCCCUCGAUUUUGUGUUACUGAGCUCUUUGGGAGUUCUCGCCCGCCCGUGACUGAGCCUCCUCCAUGCCAGAUGUUGCACAAAGCCUGGACGUGAGCGCUUCUCCCCAGAGGACUUGCUCUAAGGAAGAGGCUUCCAGAGGAAGGAAGGUGAAACUGCUAUCAGAGGGAAACCAAAGUGUGCCAAAAGCCACGGAUGUUAGCCCUGAUCCCGACAGGCUCAGGACUGUGCUCCUGACCGCCGGCUUCACAGGAGCUGAAGCUUUCUGACCA
rnacentral:lncRNA from 1 species